UGACAUGCCAAGAAUCCUCUUGAAAGAAAGGGGUGCCUUGGGGAACACAAACAUGGGUGGUGCAUGGCUAUUGUUAGCUCAUGCCAUAAGGUGUUAGGUUAAGUCCUAUAGCAAGUGCAAUCCUUGUGUUUAGUUGUCAACAUUUAAUUUGGAACCCUAAACAAACUAUUGGUGAUAAGUCAAAGGAAGGUCGGGAUAACGUCAAGUACAUUGGAAGAAUCCAUUU
rfam:Glycine soja cultivar W05 scaffold208_73, whole genome shotgun sequence.